rnacentral:rRNA from 1 species
UACGUAGGAUCCGAGCGUUGUCCGGAAUUACUGGGUGUAAAGGGCGUGUAGGUGGGUUCUUAAGUCGGUGGUGAAAUCCUGCAGCUUAACUGCAGAAUUGCCUUCGAAACUGGGGACCUUGAGUGCGGCAGAGGGAGAUGGAAUUCAUGGUGUAGCGGUGAAAUGUGUAGAUAUCAUGAAGAACACCGGUAGCGAAGGCGGUCUCCUGGUCCGCAACUGACACUGAGGCGCGAAAGCGUGGGGAGCAAACAGG